rnacentral:misc_RNA from 1 species
AAAGUUACUCACACUUAAGGCUUACAAGUUUAUAUGUAUGUAGCCUGUGUGAUAAGUUUCAUCGCCGGGUUUAAACAGCUUGGUUAGAAUUCUGAUAGCGUUGAAUGAAAAGCUAACUUGAUAUUUUUAAUAAUGUGAAAAGCGAAAAUAUUCACGCUAGUCAAAAAUUUUGUUAUAUAAUAA